rnacentral:rRNA from 1 species
AUAACACCACGUUCUGCUGACGGUACCUGAAGAAUAAGCACCGGCUAACUACGUGCCAGCAGCCGCGGUAAUACGUAGGGUGCAAGCGUUAAUCGGAAUUACUGGGCGUAAAGCGUGCGCAGGCGGUUUUGUAAGAUAGAUGUGAAAUCCCCGGGCUCAACCUGGGAAUUGCAUAUAUGACUGCAAGACUUGAGUUUGUCAGAGGAGGGUGGAAUUCCAAGUGUAGCAGUGAAAUGCGUAGAUAUUUGGAAGAACACCGAUGGCGAAGGCAGCCCUCUGGGACAUGACUGACGCUCAUGCACGAAAGCGUGGGGAGCAAACAGGAUUAGAUACCCUGGUAGUCCACGCCCUAAACGAUGUCUACUAGUUGUUGGGAGAGCAAUCUCUUGGUAACGCAGCUAACGCGUGAAGUAGACGCCUGGGGAGUACGGUCGCAAGAUUAAAACUCAAAGGAAUUGACGGGGACCCGCACAAGCGGUGGAUGAUGUGGAUUAAUUCGACGCAACGCGAAAAA